rnacentral:rRNA from 1 species
GAUGAAGGCUGCCUCCAGGCUUAACAAAUGCAAGUCGGGGGGUAACGAGAGGAAAGCUUCCCUUCCUUGUCGACGACCGGCGCCCGGGGGAGUAACGCGUAUCCAACCUGCCCCCAACUAGGGAAUAACCUUGCGAAAUUAAGACUAUUACCCUAUAAUUUCCUCAGAUGUCAUCUGACGAGGAAUAAAGAUUUAUCGGUUGUGGUGGGGGGUGGGUCUGAUUAGCUUGUUGGCGGGGUAACGGCCCACAAAGGCAACGAUCAGUAGGGGUUCUGAGAGGAAGGUCCCCCACAUUGGAACUGAGACACGGUCCAAACUCCUACGGGAGGCAGCAGUGAGGAAUAUUGGUCAAUGGGCGGAAGCCUGAACCAGCCAAGUAGCGUGCAGGAUGACGGCCCUAUGGGUUGUAAACUGCUUUUAUACAGGAAUAAAGUUAGCCACGUGUGGUUAUUUGUAGGUACUGUAUGAAUAAGGACCGGCUAAUUCCGUGCCAGCAGCCGCGGUAA